GCCGGGCAUGGUGGUGUGUGCCUGUAAUCCCACCUACUGGGAGGCUGAGGCAGGAGAAUCACUUGAACCCGGGAGGCAGAGGUUGCAUUGAGCCAAGAUUGCACCACUGCACUCCAGCCUGGAUGACAGAGUGAGACUCUGCCUCAA
rnacentral:SRP_RNA from 1 species